UCUUCAGCAGCAGAUUCUACUACUACAUCAAAAAAAUUCAAUUCAAUUAGGGAAAUGUGAUUCAUGAAAUUGUUUGACACCCAAUAAAGCAUCCUGUGAGAUUCUGUCUUACUGGUAUUAUCUUUUUCUUUUGUAGCUCUUUUUAACAUUUAUUUUUAGAGAGAGGGAAACAUCAAUUUGUUGUUCCACUUAUUUAUACAUUCAUUGGUUGCUUCUUGUAUGUGCCCUGAUGGAUCAAGCCCACAACCUGGGCAUAUUGGGACGAUGUUCUAAUCAACUGAGCUACCCGGCCAGGGCCUUCCUCUUAUAGCUCUUAUCAAUAACAACAUCCCGGGUUUAUACCCUCAAUAACGCAUGAGCUCUAGAUGACAGGUGUGAGAGAACCCCCGCAAAAAAGUGACUAAAAUUUGGAGCAUAAACUGUAGAGUUUCUCAAAGGCCUAAAAUACUGGCGCUUAUUAAGUUGCGGUAAAUAAAAGGGAAGAGAAAUAUUUUGUACUUUCAGGCAGAUUAUGCAGUUUUUCUGGGAAAUUGGUCAAGAGAAGGAACUUCCCCAAAAGGAGGGCGGGCCCUGCCAGAGGGCAAUUAGGAGGGCUGGGCUGGGUCGUGAGUUCCUGGAAGCAGGGAGGGGCCGGCUAGGAGCAGGACGCUGGAAGGUAAUCCAAAUCAAAGUCCUCAGAUGCGUCAGCAAGGCCAAAGGGCAUAGCAUAAACAGGGCCCCAAACCAGACACGGCCAGUGACCGGGCUUCUGGGCUGAGCUGGAUGAGAAUGGAGUUAGGAGCAAGCGGGGAGGCACCAGGCCAAGAGUAAAGUCAAAGUUCAUUGGUCUCUGGGUGCGUGAGUGGGGCGUGCUGACCCAGCACUUGAACUCUGUACACCAUCCUAAGAUUGUGACAGCCAUGACCUCCGACAGAAUUACCCCCACCCUUGGUCCUUGGCAAUGGACUCUGCUGUUCCUACUACCACAAGGUGGCAUCUAUGCCACCUCCCCUGGAGUCUGCGCUGGCUUUGUGACUUGCUUUGACCAAUAGGAUGUGGUAGGAGUGAUGUUGUCCACCUUCUGAGGCUGGGCUCCCUUUCAGAAUGUUUCUAUCAUCAAGUAAAGAAGCCCAGCAUGGAAGACCGGAGGAGAGGAAGCCUAGGCCCCCCAACCACGCCACGCUGCCAACGGACUGCAGCUGCACGCAUAAGACAAGCAGAGGAACUCACAGAACCGUAAGAAGUAAUAGAUUGUUGGCAAAAGACUGAAAAUGACCCAUGGCAGGCUGUAUUUUCUAAAGAUGGAAGCAGCAAUAGAUCCCAUUUCCCAUGCUCUUCUUCAAGGUGAUGUUGGCCCUCCUCCACUGGGAGGUGGGGCCUAUUCCCUCCCCUGGAACCUGGACAGACCAAUAGAAUACAGUGGAAGCCAAGGCACGUGACUCCCAAGGCUAGCUGCCACCUCGGCCCCUGCACAGCCCACGCCGUGGGAUCCAGCCUCCUGCUGUGAGGACGCUGAGCAGCUCUGCGAGGCCCGUGUGGAGUGAACCAAGGCCCCAGCCCGCGGCCAGCACCACAUGCCAGCGCCACGAGCGAGGGAUUAGAAACCAUCCUCCAGGCCCAGGUGACUGCAGGCCCAGAGGCCCCAGAUAAGGAAACUGAGGCUCGGAGAGUUUCCAUCGCUUGCUCAAGACCACACAGCGGUGGAGGCUGAUCGGGUUUUGGCCUGAGUCUUCUGACUAUACAAGCUGUGAUGUAACCACAACACCCACUGUCUCUUUUGGGGGAACACUGUGAGAGCUGGUCAACUGCACCCCUAACAGCCUACUGGUGUUCUCUUUCUGUGGAGCCAGCCUCCUGUCUGGAAUUUUCUCUUGCCCGUCCCUUUCUCCUGGGCAGCACCGGAGCUUUCAACCCAGCCUCGCAAGUGCAGAGACCUCCUGUGGCUGCGCAGCGCCCAGUGCAGGCCACCUCUGUCCUGGGCCGUCAAUCACGUCUCGAGGCCUUGCCCCCAAGUCCCUUCAACAGAGCCCAACAACCUGGUUUCAAGCUCCUCAGCGGGGUCUUCACCAAAGGUCACCUUGGGAGAGAUGUCAGGGGCAGAUGACAGCGGUGAGAGGCCACCGGGAAGGGUGGCAGGGCAUCGGCCACCCUGGCGGGCGCCUUGUUUCCUUGGUGGCAUCUUUUCAGCCAAAGCAAAUAUAGCGGCAGUCGUGGGCUGCUCGGCACCGCACGCGUGUCCUUCUCCAGCCGCGGGCCCUGGAGGACAGCUCUCAGCUGGUCGAGAGCACUGGCAUCCUGCCCAACUUCGCUCGGCUCUCAAGGUCACAGAGAACACUGUCCUGUGACCAAUGCUGGGUCAAUCCCGCAAUCAGACUCAUUAGAAGCAUUGCUGGGGUGGUGAGAAGAAAUUUCAAUAGUGCUGCAAAAAGAGACCUGUUUACCUCACCCCAUGAGGAUGGCUACUCUUUUUUUUUAAUAUAUAUAUUUUUUUUCAUUGAUAUCAGAGAGGGAGAAAUGGAAACAUCAAUGAUGAGAGAGAACCAUUGAUCGGCUGCCUCCUGGGCA